CCAGGGGCGUGUCCUGACCUACCUUCCCAGGCAAAGGCCCACAGAAACCCAUCUUCCUUCCACCCUCUGGGCUGCUGCUUUCCCCUCUCUUACUUAUCUCCCUUCUGCCUUUUCCUUGGUUCCUUUUACCCCAGGCCACUGAGAAGUAGCUUGGGACCAGGGAGAAUGUACAUGGGUGGGGGAUUUGUAAUUCAUUAAUCAGCACGAGGCAACGGACCAGUUUCAACACCACAGGCUUCUUGGGUGACUCAGCGGGAAUGCUCCGAUUCAAGGCGAUGGACCGCCCGAGCGUCCCCAUUUGUGAAAUGUUUCCCCAUGAAGACCCUGGCAUUCUCCUUCCUUUGGGGUUUCGGGUUGUUGGUUUUUCCGGUGGUGAGGUGGGGGUGGCUUAGCGGUGAGGGCUCCCCCUCCUUCCCGCAGGCCU
rnacentral:lncRNA from 1 species